rnacentral:tRNA from 1 species
GCGGCUGUAGUCGAGCGGUAAGACGCUGCGUCGCCAGCGCGGAGAUCGCCGGUUCAACUCCGGCCAGCCGCUCCA